UACGAAGGGGGCUAGCGUUGUUCGGAAUCACUGGGCGUAAAGCGCACGUAGGCGGAUACUUAAGUCAGGGGUGAAAUCCCGGGGCUCAACCCCGGAACUGCCUUUGAUACUGGGUAUCUCGAGUCCGGAAGAGGUGAGUGGAAUUCCGAGUGUAGAGGUGAAAUUCGUAGAUAUUCGGAGGAACACCAGUGGCGAAGGCGGCUCACUGGUCCGGUACUGACGCUGAGGUGCGAAAGCGUGGGGAGCAAACAGG
rnacentral:rRNA from 1 species